UGGCCUCAAAUAUUGUGUGACUACCCCCUAACAUUUAUGAAGGGGAGGAAAAGAAACUAACAAGGAUUCCCCGAGUAGCUGCGAGCGAAAAGGGAUGAGCUCAGCACGUAGGGGUGAUGCACUUGUGUGUCUACCCGGUUCCGUGUACUGGAAAAUUUGUCAUCUGCCAUGCCCAGCGUAAGGUCCAAGUUCAACUAGAAUGUGGCUUUUACUCCCAUAGAGGGUGAUAGGCCCGUAGGACGGCGCUGAUGGUGGAAAAUUUUUCCAUGGAGUCGUGUUGCUUGAUAGUGCAGCACAAAGUGGGAGGUAAACUCCUUCUAAAGCUAAAUAUCACCACGAGACCGAUAGCGAACAAGUACCGUGAGGGAAAGUUGAAAAGCACUCUGAAUAGAGAGUCAAAAAGUACGUGAAACUGCCUAGGGUCAAGCCCGUUGAACUCGAUUAUCCAAAGCGGAGAUAUGCCAAUGUGGCUGGCCUUCACUGGUCUGCUGAAGGGUAUUUAUCUUCUGCUUUACGAGGACGUUGCGAUCCAUUACGAAACCGCUAGUCAAGAAAACGACUACAGGUCCGGCAAUUGCCCCUUGGCAUCUGGUUGUUAGUCCCACAGUAGCGACGCUCAGGUCGAAAGACGAACAUCGUAACCUGGCACUUACCGUUGCGUGGUGUGCAGCCGGACGCGUGAUGGAUUUCCACGCAGACCGUCACUCCCAGUGACGGCUGAGGCAACGAUAAUAUCGAGGUACCUUCGGGACCCGUCUUGAAACACGGACCAAGAAGUCUAUCUUGCGCGCGAGCCAAUGGUACUCAGUUGAAACACCAAAGGCGCAAAAAAACAUAACUUGAAACUUGUGCGGGAUUACGGAUGAGACUCUCUGCUCGUCCCUCCAUCCCCGGUUGUUAUACCAGGCACUCGAUGCCAUAACUACCGCGAGUGCGUUGGAUGUGACCCGAAAGAUGGUGAACUAUGCCUAAUCUGUUUGAUGUGCACUUUGGGCAUAGCGGCGAAAGACCAAUCGAACCAUCUAGUAGCUGGUUCCCUCCGAAGUUUCCCUCAGGAAAGCUGGAGCAUGCAACAUUUCGGAUUCUAUUCUUAUCUGGUAAAGCGAAUGAUAAGAGGCCUUAGGUCCGAAAUGAUCUUGACCUAUUUUCAAACUUUAAAUGGGUACGUACUUGCAUGAUGUCAUUGCAACCGUUCGAACGUCGGGCCGCCCCUUGCCUUUUGGGCCGUGCCGGUCGACGUACAAGAUAUCU
rnacentral:ncRNA from 1 species